rnacentral:lncRNA from 1 species
UAAUAGGAGGGAUUUUAGCUGACAGGGUUGUUGCUGAGAAGAAGCGUUUUUGCAGUCCUUCCUUCAUGAUGUGCCUGAGCCCCCACUGUCGAGGCUGACCAUAUCUGACUAGCUGGGACGGUGCGUGGGCUCGUCACAUCCUUGGAUUAUGUGAGAGCAUUUGAAUGCUUCGCCACAAAGUAUGGUGUUUGAGGUUUCUGGUGGGUAACUUUUAUUAUUGACUUUUUCUGUUCCUAGGGGUCACAGCAUUUUUAAAAGAUCAAUUAGUGAAUGUUAAUGAUGCUGUGAUUAUCAUCCUUUACUUCUUGUUGGACAUCUUUUUCUAAGACUGAGUCAUUCUUACAUUUCUGGAGCAAAUUGUACUUGGUCAUAACCUGUUAUUAUUUUAAUACAGCCAGUUAGGCAGUUUUUGGGUUUUGUUCACAAGUAUGUUGGCCUCUAAUGUUCCUUUCUUGUACUGUUUUUGUUUUGCUGUAGUUUCAGUUAUGUGCUUGGCCUCUAAAAGGAGUGAGUUGGAAGGAGUGCUCCAUGUGCUUGAGACAGACAACAGGGCCUAUUCCAAGCUGACAUCAUGCCCACCUCGUCUGUGCGCUCACUCUUUAGCAGACACCCCUGUCUUCAGCUUCACAGAGAAUAUGUGACUGUUUGGGAAUGAAUUCUUUCAUUUCCUGGCUCCUUCCAACAUGUGAGCUUUCUGUGCACUCCUACUUGUCCCUCUACUCACUCACAGAAGUGUUUGCUCUCCUGCUGGGGUUGCAGCCUCUGCUUUGGAUCCUGUUCCAUUCUGUCUGCACCAGCUGGGCCCCCGUUGCCUGUCCUUCACUCAGCUGGCUCCCUGCUCUUCACAGAUAAAGAUUCCCAAGUCUUUACAUUCUUGGUGUGGCAUCGAUGUUGAUCCGUGAUCUGUUUUUUGUAAACACUAUCCUCUUAAAACUUCUUCCUUCCAUAGUGACUUCUAGAAAGUGUAUCUAUCUGGUGACAGCAUUUUCCCCAAUUCACUUGAACUCCUCAUCCUGCAAUAAUCUGAUAUCUCUCAUCAUUUAAUCAUUGAAAGUACUCUUCAUCAGAUCACCAAAGACCCACC